rnacentral:antisense_RNA from 1 species
UGUGGGAGCUGGCUUGCCUGCGAUGAGGGCGUGUCAGGCAACAGGGAUGUUGCUGACCCACCGCCAUCGCAGGCAAGCCAGCUCCCACC